GAAUUUUGAGUUAAUCAAAAUUUUAGUUACUCAAGUUUUUUGAAAAUCAGAUUAUUUUACUGACAUCAUGUGUCUAGUAGAUCAAUCAGUUUGUUCGACAUCUCAGUGACUUAAUUACUACAAUUAUUUAUAGAUUUUGAUUUGAUUUGAAUGAUGUCAAUGGGUCAUCUUUAGAUGCAUCUAGACAUAGAAAUCAUGUUGAUGGUUGAUGGUAUCAAACCAAAGCACCAACUAAGAUGGAAGAUGAAUCGGUUGUCUAAUUUGACGUCAUUCUCAUCACAGUCAUGAAUGCCAUGUGAAUUGGUGUUGUGAGAAACAUAGUUAAAAUAUUUCAUUGGCUAUAAAUGAUAUUGCACAUAGUUGUACAAAUGGUAUCAACGCGCAUGAAAGACAAAACCUCAUGGUGGUGGUCUUAUGUACAACGUUACAUGUAAUUGUUACUUGUAAAAUCUUUGAGAAAAUUAAUUUUUCUUAGAAUGAAAUACACAUUAAAUUGUUUGUGUAAACAUCUUUGUUGUCCAAAGGUACAAUUGAUGAUUCAAAAUAUUUUGAGUGGUUAAAACAUUUGUAUAUGAAUGAGAAAUUAAAGUCUUAAGUUAUCCACUGAUCAUGACUAACUUGUGUUAUAGUAGAUAAAUAUGUAUGUAUUUCACAUACAUUGUAUUUGCUCCAACCCAUCCCAAUGGGUGUGUCUUUCCCCAAUGGACACAUACUUUGUAAACACUUAUGCUGAAUAGGUGUGUAUAUUCCCAAUAGAUGUGUAUAUUCCCAAUAGAUGUGUACAUUAUAUUGGGUCAGAUGUCUAUUCAAAUAUACAUUGAUAGACAUGUGCCUUUUUGAAAAGGUGUCUUUCCUACUAUAUAAGUGUGUCUUGUGUUUGCAGUCAAAUCACUUUUCAAUCAAUUGUUCUUUUAAUCUUCUAGUGUUUGUGUCUUGUCAUGAGAGAGUAUAAUAAAGAAUUGGUUCACCGUCUUCUAUGCGUUUGAAGAGCUGCUACGCUAUGAAGGAUAGAUCGUUGUAUCCUGGGAGACAAUCUGCCAUUGAUAAACUGUUCGGCACAUUUACGGGGCGAAUAAUGUCUUAAGGAGAGAGAUUUUAUCUCGACUCGCUCUAAAUCUUGUCCUUCAUCCAUUUAUUCUGGUUUGCAUCACCUAUUCCCUUUUAUUUAUUUUAGAAUAGUAAUAUAUUGAUAUAUAUAUUUUCCUAUAUUAUUUACACUUACAUGAAUAAAUAGUGGGUGGGAAAAAGAGUUUAAUUUGUAUUGGAUACCUUUUUUUUGCAAUUAUAGGAUUUGGAACAUAGAUCCCGCCUGUGCCGAUUCAUACAGUAAAAUGGGGUGGGUUAGGUUAACCCCUUUUUUUCUUGUAAUUUGAGCGGAUUUGGUGGGUUUGAUAAUUUUAAUGUACGUGCUAUAAUUAGAUCAUGAAUGUAAUGCAUAUGGUGUUGCUCUUUCAGAAGAUAUACGCAUUUCUCCAAUGUUUAACGUACAUGACAUAUAUCCAAUCUAUGAUUCACUUGACACAAAGAAUGGGAUUAUGUCUACACACAUUAGAAAAGUAUGAAUUUAUAGCAAAAAAAAAAAACAGUUAGAAUACAAAGAAAAACCGACUCCUAAAAUUCAAAAUGUAUUUCUAUUUAUUUACCUUAUGUUGGAACUUUGUUCUUUCGUUGUAGUUCCUCAGCAAUCCUUACACUGAUUACACAAUGAAGAAACCAGUUCUGUUUAAGAUAAUGCACAUGUUAUUUAAGAAAAUUUAAAAAUGAACACAAUAACAAAACGUACAAAAGCUGGAGGAGACUUUACUAGCAUAUAUGCAAUAUAAUUAUUUCCUCUACAAUUAGAAGUGUUUUUGAUAAACGAAGAAAAAUAAUUAGCAUAUAUGCAAUGUAGUUAUUUCCUCAAUCUACAACUAGAAUUUAGAAGUGCUUUUGAUAAACAAAAAAAAAAAAAAUAAAGGCAAGAAAAAAAGUCUGAUAGUUGUAGAUGGGCAAGUGAUUGUGCUUAAGACUUUACUAGAACAUAUACAAAAUGGAUCUGAAUGAGAACAAAAAAUAUCACAAUUUUGCUUUGCUGUUGUGGAAUUGACAUACAUCACAAGUUGACGUGGUUUACAACAAAGGGAGGUCAAGGUUGGGUAUAAAGAAGUUCAGUCAUACCUAGAAGUUGCAAGUACUCUUAACUUUUGAUGAACUAGUUUUAGAGCACACUCUACUAAACUGUAUUUCAAUCUAACGCUAACAAGUUACUGAAAUUAUUUUUACUAAUCUGUUAGUAGGUACUGCGCACUGGUUAAUUUUAAUUUAUCAGUUUUAGGUGAACAUUCGAGUUUUAGGUUAUUAAUUACACUCACAAGCUAGCAAAAAUUACAACUAGACUAUAUUAUUAAAUUUUAUAAAAUAAUUAUUUUUAAAACAAAUUUAUUAAUAUUCCUUUAUAAGAACUCACGGUUAAAAAUUGUUAGUUUCUCAUAAUAUUUGUUAAUUUGAUUAUAUUUAAAAUUAUUGGGCCUCUUGACCAAAAAUCAAAAUCCAACCCAUAAAAAAUUGUAUAUUAAAUUACGAUAAAAUCAUGACUAAAAGAGUAUUUUAUUCAGAUUUGUGUUACAGAUUUGUAUUUUAACUCAACUCUCAUUAACCAAGACAUACCGCUGAAUACCAAGAUGACAAUUGACAACCACAUAAAAACAAAAUAUCAAAUCUAGUAGCUUGGAUUAGUAGUUAUAAAAAUUAGAUAGAAGUCGCCUUUGAAUAACAAUGAAGGCCUAGAAACUUGAAUAAAUUCUCCUGUUGUGUUACAAAUGUACACCUAAUUGUGCACAUAAAUUGUAUAGUACACACUCAGCAAGAAAGAAAAAAAGUCAAAGGGGUUUUCUUACGUAUUUACCUUAUGUACCAAGCAAGUUUUUUUCCUUAAGCACUAACCAGAUCUGAAAGAGAGAAAGAUAAAAAAUAAUCUUAGAAAAUAUUGAAGUUCAAAACGAGAAAAAUUAAAUUCAUUUGAGGAAGCCUGAUUGCUUAAGAAGAAAAAUACCUGAGACUUUACGAGUAGAAUUUAUAUGAAUUAGAUCUGAAUGAGAAGCAAGCUAAUAUCUCAAGACGAAGAAGAAGAAUAUAUAUCUUUGUAUGCUCAAAGCGACAAUUUCUAAGAAAUAAGGAUCAGACUUCAGAGGAGACCAUAGUCGUUGCAGCAGUCAGGUGAGGAAUCUGGCAGCACUUGACUAUGAAUGUACCUAAGGAGGUUACAAUAAUGAUAUAUAUAGACCAAAUCACAAGGUAAGUUACCAUUUACCAAGAGUUCAUUGAGUCACUUUUCUUUUAAGCACCCUAGGCUAGUUCAUCUCCAUGGAAAGCAAACAAAAUUCUUAUCACCUACUUCCAUUAUCACAAUGUUGGGAUAAUGACAACCAUUGCAUUAUUUCCAUUUGUUUUCACUAAAAUAGUAGAAUGACAUUGAUAACCACUUAUUUCUAUCACAAAACAAAGGAAACUGAG
rnacentral:lncRNA from 1 species